CACGUAGGGUGCGAGCGUUGUCCGGAAUUAUUGGGCGUAAAGAGCUCGUAGGCGGUGUGUCGCGUCGGCCGUGAAAACUUGGGGCUUAACUCUGAGCGUGCGGUCGAUACGGGCAUCACUGGAGUUCGGCAGGGGAGACUGGAAUUCCUGGUGUAGCGGUGAAAUGCGCAGAUAUCAGGAGGAACACCGGUGGCGAAGGCGGGUCUCUGGGCCGAUACUGACGCUGAGGAGCGAAAGCGUGGGGAGCGAACAGG
rnacentral:rRNA from 1 species